AUUAAACGCUGGCGGCAUGCCUUACACAUGCAAGUCGAACGGUAGCGCGGGGCAACCUGGCGACGAGUGGCGAACGGGUGAGUAAAGCAUCGGAACGUGCCCUGGAAUGGGGGAUAACGUAGCGAAAGUUACGCUAAUACCGCAUAUUCUGUGAGCAGGAAAGCAGGGGAUCGCAAGACCUUGCGUUCUGGGAGCGGCCGAUGUCGGAUUAGCUAGUUGGUGGGGUAAAAGCCUACCAAGGCGACGAUCCGUAGCGGGUCUGAGAGGAUGAUCCGCCACACUGGGACUGAGACACGGCCCAGACUCCUACGGGAGGCAGCAGUGGGGAAUUUUGGACAAUGGGCGGAAGCCUGAUCCAGCCAUGCCGCGUGAGUGAAGAAGGCCUU
rnacentral:rRNA from 1 species